CUGCCGGACCUGACUGCUAUCGGAUUGAUACUAAGCCAUGCGAGUCUUUGUAGUAAUACAAGGCAUACGGCUCAGUAACACGUAGUCAACCUACCCUAUGGACGAGAAUAAUCUCGGGAAACUGAGCAUAAUUCUCGAUAGAUCAUAAUGCCUGGAAUGGUUUAUGGUUAAAAUGAUUCGUCGCCAUAGGAUGGGACUGCGGCCUAUCAGCUUGUUGGUGAGGUAAUGGCCCACCAAGGCGAUUACAGGUACGGGCUCUGAGAGGAGAAGCCCGGAGAUGGGUACUGAGACACGGACCCAGGCCCUAUGGGGCGCAGCAGGCGAGAAAACUUUGCAAUGUGCGAAAGCACGACAAGGUUAAUCCGAGUGAUUUCUGCUAAAGAAAUCUUUUGCCAGUCAUAAAACCACUGGUGAAUAAGGGGUGGGCAAGUUCUGGUGUCAGCCGCCGCGGUAAAACCAGCACCUCAAGUGGUCAGGAUGAUUAUUGGGCCUAAAGCAUCCGUAGCCGGCUUUGUAAGUUUUCGGUUAAAUCCAUGUGCUCAACGCAUGGGCUGCCGAAAAUACUGCAUGGCUAGGGAGUGGGAGAGGUAGACGGUACUCAGUAGGAAGGGGUAAAAUCCUUUGAUCUAUUGAUGACCACCUGUGGCGAAGGCGGUCUACCAGAACACGUUCGACGGUGAGGGAUGAAAGCUGGGGGAGCAAACCGGAUUAGAUACCCGGGUAGUCCCAGCUGUAAACGAUGCAGACUCGAUGAUGCAUUGGCAUAAUAGCCAGUGCAGUGUCGCAGGGAUGCCGUUAAGUCUGCCGCCUGGGAAGUACGUACGCAAGUAUGAAACUUAA
rnacentral:rRNA from 1 species